ACAAGAGGUGUAUUUGAAGAACCAGAGCUCUGGAAACAACACGUAUCUCACACAGGAGACAGAGGAGUCGACCCUGAGCCCAAUUAGGCGAAGGUACUCCGGAAUUGUGUCCCUAGAAGGUGAUACAGCAGCAUUCAGAGAAACUGGACUUAACGUUCAUUAAAGAAGAGCUUGAACCAGAUACAAAAGGCGGAAACCUCAACUCAGUUGCUGAACCCACCAAAUUCACUUUGAGGAUGAAAAGUAAAGAUGCCAGGGGCUAACUGCUGGACUGAAGGAAAAAGUCAGGACUUCCAUUUCCCCUGAAGAAGAAGUGCAGAGGAUGAAGAGGGUUUUCACCAUGAUUCCGAGGGAGAAAAGUUUACAGUGGAAAGGAAAAUUUCAUUCUGAGAAUUGAAAACACCUGCUGAGAGACUGAUCAUGACACUUGGUCUUUACCUCCAUAGGAUUAUCAAGGGGAGAGAAAUUCAUGAGAUUUAUGUGGAUUCUAGAGAGUGCAUUUUAACUCCAAACCUCAGUGCUCAAAUUUAGUCUCCAUUGUACCUCAUGGAAAACAAGCGAAUUCCAUGAGGUUAUGAAGUCAUGAGAACAUCUUCUUCAUGAAUGGAUUUAGUGCACCAGUGCAGUGGCUGGGAGUAGAUCAGUUCCAUGAGGCAUGAGAAAGGUGAAUUCUGGCAAAAAGGAAACUAAGAGGAGGCUUCCAGGAUCACAAGAGUAUCCUGCUUCUUCUGGAAGCCUUCAGUGACCCAGGACUUGAAACCCUCCCCUUCAAUCCCUUACCAGCUGGGUCUAUUCAGAUACAGCCUGCAGAGGUAAAAGCCCUGUAUUGCACACACUUGGAAUUUUGGCAUCUGGGAUGUAAAAACAAGAGGAUCCUGGGAGUUCACUGGCUCCAGAGGCAAGCUGAUUCAGCAAGA
rnacentral:sRNA from 1 species